CUUAGAGAUCUUUAUGUCAGCAGUGAAUGAGACCAGGAGAGCAUUAGGUAAUAGUGCCUGGAUGGCCACAGCAAGAAAUGUGCAUUAUUUGCAUAAUCUACAUAAAAUGCUGUAGAGGGUGCUGGGCAGGUUUUCCAGUGAAGUCCUUCUCUUGUCCCUGAGAAGAAAUGGAGGGGCCUCUUCACUGGCUGAUGGACAGGACAGUCAUGGCACAGGGAAGGGCAGGUGGCUCUGCUGCACUAUGUCCCCAGGAGGAGAAACCCAUACUGCUUUUAGAGAGAUGGACAGGUGGAGCUACUCCCAGAGAGAUAAGGAGAUCUUACAAGGAUGCUUUCAGAGCAAGAGGAACUGGGGAGGAACAUGUCCCUUUGGUCACCCAUGCUCAGAUCACCACCAGCAAGGGCUGCAACUGCCCUGUCAGGUCUGUAUUCCAAAUCUGUAACGUCCAUACCCUGGCAAAGGUCCUUGCCACUCCAAGGUGCCUCUGUUGAGGAGUUUAUGGAAUCAGAGGGCGUUGGUUGGAAGAUUUGUGUCACUGGAGAUGGGGCCCGUGAGGAUCAUACC
rnacentral:lncRNA from 1 species